GAGCGGCAACGUUCACCCAGGGCCGGAAAGUUGUCCAAACUUGGUCAUUUAGAGGAAGUAAAAGUCGUAACAAGGUCUCCGUAGGUGAACCUGCGGAGGGAUC
rnacentral:rRNA from 1 species